AGUGAACGCUGGCGGUAGGCCUAACACAUGCAAGUCGAACGGCAGCACAGUAAGAGCUUGCUCUUACGGGUGGCGAGUGGCGGACGGGUGAGGAAUACAUCGGAAUCUACUUUUUCGUGGGGGAUAACGUAGGGAAACUUACGCUAAUACCGCAUACGACCUACGGGUGAAAGCAGGGGAUCUUCGGACCUUGCGCGAUUGAAUGAGCCGAUGUCGGAUUAGCUAGUUGGCGGGGUAAAGGCCCACCAAGGCGACGAUCCGUAGCUGGUCUGAGAGGAUGAUCGGCCACACUGGAACUGAGACACGGUCCAGACUCCUACGGGAGGCAGCAGUGGGGAAUAUUGGACAAUGGGCGGAAGCCUGAUACAGCCAUACCGCGUGGGUGAAGAAGGCCUUCGGGUUGUAAAGCCCUUUUGUUGGGAAAGAAAAGCAGCAGGUUAAUACCCCGCUGUUCUGACGGUACCCAGAGAAUAAGCACCGGCUAACUUCGUG
rnacentral:rRNA from 1 species